AUUGAACGCUGGCGGCAGGCCUAACACAUGCAAGUCGAGCGGAUGAGGAGAGCUUGCUCUUCGAUUCAGCGGCGGACGGGUGAGUAAUGCCUAGGAAUCUGCCUGGUAGUGGGGGACAACGUUUCGAAAGGAACGCUAAUACCGCAUACGUCAUACGGGCGAAAGCAGGGGACCUUCGGGCCUUGCGCUAUCAGAUGAGCCUAGGUCGGAUUAGCUAGUUGGCGAGGUAAUGGCUCACCAAGGCGACGAUCCGUAACUGGUCUGAGAGGAUGAUCAGUCACACUGGAACUGAGACACGGUCCAGACUCCUACGGGAGGCAGCAGUGGGGAAUAUUGGACAAUGGGCGAAAGCCUGAUCCAGCCAUGCCGCGUGUGUGAAGAAGGUCUUCGGAUUGUAAAGCACUUUAAGUUGGGAGGAAGGGCAGUAAGUUAAUACCUUGCUGUUUUGACGUUACCGACAGAAUAAGCACCGGCUAACUCUGUGCCAGCCGCCGCGGUAAAAC
rnacentral:rRNA from 1 species